CAGAAUUUCUGAUUCGCAGACUCCAAUUGGGAAGUCGAAGUUUUCCUCAGUUCGGGAUUCAAGUUAAACUGGUGACUUGGGACACCAAAAGCCAAACUUAUCCCAAGUGGCGGCUCUGAAUAAAUAAUUCCGAUCCGAAUAAUGUCACUUUAAAUGAAAAAAUUCCCUUAUACAUUAUCCUUCGGAGUAGAUGUAAAAAGGAGGUGUGACAACUCUGGCGACUCUGUUGACCCAGAACGUUUUGUCAAGGUUCAGAAUUCGAGCUUAGAAUAAUCAUUGUGUUUGGCUUUAUCUGAUUCUGUUACGUGAUAUGUGCUUAAUGUGCUAAUUGAUUGCUUUUACCACUUUGAUAUUACGUGAACUGUAUAUAAACUGUGUCGAUUCAAAUCUCCUCUCUAACUCUUUUGAAUUGUGAAGAAGGGUGUACGGUGUACGACUUCUUUUCUGUCUAGUUUCAAAUCCCAAUUUAGAACGAGGUUUGGAUAAGUCGUAAAGCCGGCGAAGCUUGUAUUCCCGGAUUGCCGCCUCCCCCUCGGCUCGAGUUGUCCGCUCGGGUAAGCUAGGUCUAGAAUAAACACCCAGGUUUUGAACCUAGAAUAACUCAUCCUCAUGUCGGAUCCCUAGUAGUAUCUCUUAUUUGCAUCAUGUGCAUUUUGACUUAGG
rnacentral:lncRNA from 1 species